UGCAUAAUGAGAGCAAGUACAGCCGGGUUUGUAGCUCAGCGGCACGAGCGCCGGCCUGGCAAGCGCAGGGUCCUGAGAACGAUUCCUGGUCCGAAAAAGACCACUAACACCAAACAAGUGCAGUCACGUCCCACGGACACAGCGUCAGCCACCAGUGUGAGUGCGCUCCUGCCAGUGCUGUGCAGAGCGCCGGUCCCUUGGGCUUGGUGCACCCCGCGGGCCAGCGCGCCCCAGAGCCACUCGGUUCAUGGGGGCGGUGGGGCCCAUACCGGGCGAGGGCGGGGGCGGGCCCGGCAGGGGACUCAGGGCCGGGGCGGGGAGGGCGCCUCGCCUCCCUUGGCCGUGUUUUUUUUUCCUUCCUUUCUGCCCAGCCCGGAGGAGAUGGAACCUGCCGCCCACGUCCCUUGGGGAGAAGCUGGUGAGUAAUUCAUCGUCUCCAGAAAGUCGCAUGGGAGCCUGGCAGGUGGCCGAGCGGCACAGGUGGGACGCUGAGCUUGCAGGGACGGCGCCAAGUGUAGGUCCCUUUCCUCCCGGUCCAGGGGAGGUCACGCCGUGUGGUCCUCCCCAGUAACUAGCUCCCGUGGGCGAGGGGCCUGCAUGGGGUCGAGCCAGGAGCUGGAUUACAGAGCGCUGCUUCCCCCUCCCUGACACACAGAAAGCACGGAACGGUUCUGGUGGCAUAUGCCUGUCAUCCCAACCUGUAGGAGGCUGAGGCAGGAGGAUUGCUGCGAGUUUGAGGCUAGCCUGGUCUCCCUUGUGAGUUUAGAGCCAUCCUGGAGUACGUAGUGAGACCCUGCCUCACAAAAACAAUGCAGAAACAUGGAUGAAUUGUGUGUUUCCUCAUCUUAGAGUGUUCACCUUUCCUGUUUCAGCCUCCCGCUCGCUGAGGGCCCUCGCAGUCCUGCCGGCUGCCCUGGCUCAGUUAUCACAGUGCUGAUGCUGUCCGCUCUAAAGGCAGGGGCUUGCCGUGCAGUACAAGCUAGGCUGGAAUUCGCAGUGGAGCCCAGGCCGGCCUCGAAGCUGAGGUGAUCCUCCUGCCUCGACCUCACCAGCGCUGGGGGUACCCGUGCACUCUGUCGUGUUCUGUGACGUGGGUGUGAGACUCGGUGAUACGUUGGCAGCGUGAAGACGAUGGUGCCAGGCCAGCACGGAAGGGUCAGGAAGCCGCGAGUCUUCAGGGGUCAGUGCUGGGGACCAGGUGUGCAUCAGCGGCUGGCCAUGGUGGGCACACCUGCAGUCCCAGCACCAGGGAGGCUGAGGCAGGAGGGUCUCUGUGAGUGCAAGGCCAGCGUGGGCUAAAAGGCGAGGCCGUGUUGCAGGUGAGUGAGGGCUCCAGGGUCUGCUGUCCCCGAAGUGUGACGGCGAGCUGUCAGCACACCUGCACGUGUCACCCCACUUCUCACCCUGCGCAGGGCAGGCGGGUGGAGGAGAGCCCUCUGGUGACCAGUGCCGAUGGUGCUGCAGGAGUAAAUUCAUCUCCGCACGUGAGGGUCAGACACCGACUGUCUCGUCUCUCCUGAGAGGUUUACAGCCCAGUCUGGUUCCAGAGUUGUUUAUCAUUGUUGCAGCUAUUGUCACCUUUUGUAUGAAAAUAAAGUGUAAAGUUGUUUGUCACAU